rnacentral:rRNA from 1 species
UACGAAGGGGGCUAGCGUUGCUCGGAAUCACUGGGCGUAAAGCGCACGUAGGCGGCGUCUUAAGUCAGGGGUGAAAUCCUGGAGCUCAACUCCAGAACUGCCUUUGAUACUGAGAUGCUUGAGUCCGGGAGAGGUGAGUGGAACUGCGAGUGUAGAGGUGAAAUUCGUAGAUAUUCGCAAGAACACCAGUGGCGAAGGCGGCUCACUGGCCCGGUACUGACGCUGAGGUGCGAAAGCGUGGGGAGCAACAGG